UUUAUACUCCCUCUGUCCGGAAAUAGUACUUGUCGGGGAAAUGAAUAAAAGUAGAUGUAUCUAGAACUAAAAUACAUCUAGAUACAUCCAUUUCUCCGACAAGUAUUUCCGGACGGAGGGAGUAGUUA
rfam:Triticum aestivum genome assembly, contig: Triticum_aestivum_CS42_TGACv1_scaffold_225587_3B